CGUGUAGGCGGUCUGAUUAGUCUGAUGUGAAAGCCCUGGGCUCAACCCAGGAAGUGCAUUGGAUACUGUCAGACUUGAAUACGGGAGAGGGUAGUGGAAUUCCUAGUGUAGGAGUGAAAUCCGUAGAUAUUAGGAGGAACACCGGUGGCGAAGGCGGCUACCCGGACCGAUAUUGACGCUGAGACGCGAAAGCGUGGGUAGCAAACAGGAUUAGAUACCCUGGUAGUCCACGCCGUAAACGAUGAGUACUAGGUGUUGCGGGUAUUGACCCCUGCAGUGCCGCAGCUAACGCAUUAAGUACUCCGCCUGGGAAGUACGGUCGCAAGACUAAA
rnacentral:rRNA from 1 species